AGCGAACGCUGGCGGCGUGCUUAACACAUGCAAGUCGAGCGUGAACGGGGCAACCCUAGUAAAGUGGCGUACGGGUGAGUAACACGUAGAUAAUCUACCCCAGAGUUUGGAAUAACCUGCCGAAAGGCGGGCUAAUACUGGAUAGAGCGACGGAACUCGUAAACGAGUUUUUCGGGAAAGGGAGCCUGAUAAGGGCCCUCGCUUUGGGAUGAGUCUGCGUCUGAUUGGCUAGUUGGUAAGGUAAUGGCUUACCAAGGCGAUGAUCAGUAGCUGGUCUGAGAGGAUGAUCAGCCACACUGGAACUGAAACACGGUCCAGACUCCUACGGGAGGCAGCAGUGGGGAAUCUUGCGCAAUGGACGAAAGUCUGACGCAGCCACGCCGCGUGAGUGAAGAAGGCCUUCGGGUUGUAAAGCUCUGUCGGGCGGGACGAAAAGCAUAACAGUUAAGAGCUGGUAUGCCUGACGGUACCGCCAAAGGAAGCACCGGCUAACUUCGUGCCAGCCGCCGCCGUAA
rnacentral:rRNA from 1 species